ACACAAUGAUCUCUAUCAAAAAA
rnacentral:snRNA from 1 species